rnacentral:rRNA from 1 species
UUUACCCCGGGGACUAGCAUAUCAUAGCGGAGGAAAAGAAACCAACAGGGAUUGCCCUAGUAACGGCGAGUGAAGCGGCAACAGCUCAAAUUUGAAAUCUGGCUCUUUUAGAGUCCGAGUUGUAAUUUGCAGAGGGCGCUUUGGCUUUGGCAGCGGUCCAAGUUCCUUGGAACAGGACGUCACAGAGGGUGAGAAUCCCGUACGUGGUCGCUGGCUAUUGCCGUGUAAAGCCCCUUCGACGAGUCGAGUUGUUUGGGAAUGCAGCUCUAAAUGGGAGGUACAUUUCUUCUAAAGCUAAAUAUUGGCCAGAGACCGAUAGCGCACAAGUAGAGUGAUCGAAAGAUGAAAAGCACUUUGGAAAGAGAGUCAAACAGCACGUGAAAUUGUUAAAAGGGAAGCGCUUGCAGCCAGACUUGCUUACAGUUGCUCAUCCGGGCUUUUGCCCGGUGCACUCUUCUGUAGGCAGGCCAGCAUCAGUUUGGGCGGUAGGAUAAAGGUCUCUGUCACGUACCUCCUUUCGGGGAGGCCUUAUAGGGGAGACGACAUACUACCAGCCUGGACUGAGGUCCGCGCAUCUGCUAGGAUGCUGGCGUAAUGGCUGUAAGCGGCCCGUCUUGAAACACGGACCAAGGAGUCUAACAUCUAUGCGAGUGUUUGGGUGUCAAGCCCGAGCGCGUAAUGAAAGUGAACGGAGGUGGGAACCCGCAAGGGUGCACCAUCGACCGAUCCUGAUGUCUUCGGAAGGAUUUGAGUAAGAGCAUGGCUGUUGGGACCCGAAAGAUGGUGAACUAUGCUUGAAUAGGGUGAAGCCAGAGGAAACUCUGGUGGAGGCUCGCAGCGGUUCUGACGUGCAAAUCGAUCGUCAAAUUUGGGCAUAGGGGCGAAAGACUAAUCGACUUCAGUGGCUC